UCGCGGGGGGAGUUUGAGGAGUUUUUAUUUGAGCUGCUUUCGCGGAUCGUUCGGGUCUCUCUCGUCUCUAAUUGACACAUUCCAAUCAUCUCUUUUUCAAUCUGAAUCUUCAUAUUUAAUCCCAGCUGUAAAGGAUGAUCUGUUUAUACAGAAAUUGCCUUGGUAAUGGACUCAAGAAGGCCAAAGCCUGGAGGAGACAUUAUGCUUGGUGAACUGCUUGAGAAGAAAGUAAGUGAUGGUAUCAGAGUUUUUAUGCUUGUGUGGGAUCACAGAACAUCAGACGGUUUACUAAAAAAGAUGGUUUGAUGGCCACCCAUGAUGAAGAAAUUGAAAGUUAUUAGGAUUCUUGGAGUCCACGGGCUAAUUGAGGGGAAGAUCAUGCACAUGAGUAAGGGACACUAUUUCUAUCGGUGCAAGACCUUUUGGAGAAACUAAAAAUAAGGUCAGCAAAAUGGAUAAAUCAUACCAUUGUGGAGUUUCUUUGCUCCUGUCUCUGAUAUCAAAAUCUUGCUCUUAUCUUAACUUAGACAUGUUAAAAGCAUUCUCAAAUAUGUGAGCCUCAAACGUGUGGUCAGAGUGAAGAUUCGUGAUAGAGUUUUAUUGGGCUAGCAAUGUGCUCAAGAGAAGAGGAAUCAUAAGAUAGUGUACUUUGUUUGAGGGGAAGAAUCGUGUGUAUACGGAAACCAAAAGUAAAGCUGCGAGAGGUUAUGUUACCCCAUAUGAUAGAUUGUUGAUGAUGAGUACAUAAUUGUUGGAUCGGCCAAUAUCAACCAGAGAUCCAUGGAUGGUGCAAGCAAGGGACUCUGAGAUAGCAGCAAUGGGAGCAUAUCAGCCAUAUCAUCUAUCAGCCUGUGAAACCUGCACGUGGUCAAGUUCAUGGGUUCCGUUGGCUCUAUGGUACGAACAUCUUGGUAUGCUCGAUGAAUUUGUCAUUCGACCAGAAACAAAGAAUGUGUUGCAAAGAAUGAGUCACACAUUGACUAAUUAAAGGGAAGAUCCUGAGUUUAUAAAUACCAAAUACUAUCUUCAUUGGUAUGAGGUCUUUUAGAGAAAUCAAAAUUAAAGUCACGAGAGCUUAUGUUCAAAGUGGAUAAUAUCAUAUCAUUGUGGAGAUCUUUGAUUCCUAACAGCUUAGUCACCUCUUCCGCU